GUGGGGAGGGGGCCCAGAGCUUGUCCCAACACCCCUUGUCCUGGCCUGAGGAGCUCUAUGGCCAGCUGAGAUGCAGCCUGGUCCUGCCCCUGUGUCUCACAGCUCCCUCCCAGACCCAUCUUCUCUUCUCUGCUGCCCUGGGGAAGGGGCUGGGACCAGAAGCAAGUAAGACUUGCGGGGGACAGAGGGAGCGGUGACAAAUAGGGACAAGUAAGCGAAGCCAGAAGCAGAGAAGGACUCUUUCUGGAACUCAGGGAGACCUGUGGACAGGAGAGCGCUGCCUUCCCAGCACAGGGGGCCCAGAUGAGGCCUGCCUUGACUUGCUCCUCAGCCCCCUCCCCACCCCAGGCCUCACUUCCCCAAAUACCUCUCUGACAAGCUCCUCAUGCCAGGCCUCAGGCACCCCUGGCUCCUCCCUAAGGAAGGCCCGGUGCUUCUGGGAGGGUCAGCCCCACCACUGUCAGCACAUCCUCUGCUGGGCCCCCGCCCAACUUCCUCCUGUAGGAUCCCAGAGUUCAGGAAAAGGAAGCGCCUCCCCAACUCACACUGGGUUUGUGGCAACCCUCCAGGCCCUCCUCACCCCUGACCAGGGACCCACAGGAAGUCCUCGGCUGUGUCUGAGGGAACACAGAGGGGAAAGGGGCUCUGGGAGAGGCCUCGGGGCUCAGGUGAAGAGGGCAGACAAAGAACUCCUAAGCCCAGCCUGUGUGCCUGCACACAGGGAAGUGGGGAGCCCUGGGAGGGGACAGGAAUGACUCAGGGCUCCCGAAAGAGUAGGCGAGGGGGGGCGUGUGUACUUCUCCUGGCCCUGUUUAUGAAUGUGUGUCUGUGGCUGGCAUGUGUGGGGGGAGUGUGUGUGUCUGUGAAUGAGUGUAGGUGUGUCAUAGUCAAUGAGCGCCUUAAGCGGGGAUGCAGGCGGGGGUCGGAUGUUGGGAGAAGUGACCGGGAGGCCAGGCAUGAUCAGCCUGGCUGCAGUACGGAAUGAUCUGGGAAAUUCUGGAGGACUCUGGCUAACUCCUGACAAGCCAACCCUGGAAGCAGGGUAUAGGGUAAGUCAGGGGCUUUGGAUGGGUUCAGUAUUUAGCUUGAAGCCUCACAUCUGGAGAGAAGGUUCAGGCUGCUGGGAACCUGAGCCUACGUUUUUGGCUACUGGAGGAAGAGGUGGUGAAUGUGGAAAGGACAGGAAAAAAGGUUUCUUGCUUGCUGUGAGCUUUGAGAAGCAGCAGCAGCAGCUCCCAUUUUGCCCCACUGUAGGGAGAAGAGGACUGAAGGGUGAACUCCUCCCAGAAGAGCCAGCAGAGGCUCUGUACUCCUUCCUUUCAAAGAAAGGGAUUCUGACUGGCUUUCUACCUCCUUUUGCUGCUGUUUUCCCUUCCAGUCUCUCCUGCUAGGCUUUUACAGUCCAGAACACUGGCUCUUUUCUGAGCCAUGUGCGACAAUCUACCUGCCCUUUAGAUAUGAAGGCUACCCAGCUGGGACCCCACUAAUCCAGACUGUACAGGUUCUCUUCCAAAACUCUUAGAAGACCAGGCAAAAGACUGGAGGCUGGGCUUAAAUGUAGUCGGUUGCCUGAGGUCUUAAUGACCAUGCACUGGGCCAUUAGCUGGACCUGAAACUGACUGGCAGACCUCUCACUGGAAAGGGUAAUGGGC
ensembl:lncRNA